rnacentral:lncRNA from 14 species
AGAUGCUUUAAGUGCUGCAAACACAGCUCAGGACUUUCUCUGGCCUUCCAGGGAGGGCUCCUCCAGCAUAUGGCAAUAAUUUGAGUCCUCCAGAUGUUCAGAGGUCCGGAAGAACCCAUAGGCAGCUCUUGCCUGGUACUGGCUGAUAGCUGCUGCUGGGGGAGCGGCUGCCUGGAGUACAGAUAGCAGAUAACAGCCUCAACAGCUGCUCUACAGAUCCUGGACUUGGAAAGUGAGGAACAGACAAGGUAGAUAAGAGGUAGAGUUUUAGGGGAUAUAAACUUCCUCCCUCUCCUGUAUAAACCCCCAAGCUACAAACAAAGAAGUGUUGCUUCAAGAAAACAGGCACAGCACAUAUUUCUCUGAACUGGUGAUGACUCAACACUGGUUGAGAAGAAGGCAGAGCUGUGAUGACACCUCUGACACACAGUGUUGAUCAUCUUCUCUACUGGCUGAACUAAAAGAGGAAUCUCCAAACCUGGAAAACUCCAAGACCACACAGUUGCCAAGGAGGGCUAGAAAAGGUGAAACAGCUGAAUGAAGAGAUUUCAGUAAUAGGAAGGGAAAUAAGAAGAAAUUUACUUUCUUCCCACCCCAAAUAAAGGGCUGUAGUAGUUUCUUCAGCUUUUCUGAAUUCUGGAUGGUAGCAAUACAGUGUGGGUCUAGGAAAUCCCUCUGCCAUUGUACAUGCUUAUGGUUCCUGACCAACAGAGGCAAGAGGAUGGAGGGUGGUGCCCUUGGGGCAAAAUAGUCUUAUGCUGACUGCAGCUGGUAUUGGAGGGCCCUGAAAACACUGCGGCUGUCUGAUCUGAAGAGCAUGUAGCCUCAGAUGGUAUCCCUGUGCAGAUGAU